rnacentral:rRNA from 1 species
GACGAACGCUGGCGGCGUGCUUAACACAUGCAAGUCGAACGGAAAGGCCCUGCUUUUGUGGGGUGCUCGAGUGGCGAACGGGUGAGUAACACGUGAGUAACCUGCCCUUGACUUUGGGAUAACUUCAGGAAACUGGGGCUAAUACCGGAUAGGAGCUCCUGCUGCAUGGUGGGGGUUGGAAAGUUUCGGCGGUUGGGGAUGGACUCGCGGCUUAUCAGCUUGUUGGUGGGGUAGUGGCUUACCAAGGCUUUGACGGGUAGCCGGCCUGAGAGGGUGACCGGCCACAUUGGGCCUGAGAUACGGCACAGACUCCUACGGGAGGCAGCAGUGGGGAAUAUUGCACAAUGGGCGGAAGCCUGAUGCAGCAACGCCGCGUGCGGGAUGACGGCCUUCGGGUUGUAAACCGCUUUCGCCUGUGACGAAGCGUGAGUGACGGUAAUGGGUAAAGAAGCACCGGCUAACUACGUG